rnacentral:rRNA from 1 species
AUGCCUAGGAAAAUCAUCAUGUUCCUUUGGAGAUUGAGUCACAACACCCUUCCUGUCCGGUUAAAUCUUAAACGUCGUGGAAUUGACCUGGAUACCAUCUGUCUGAUGUGCAAUCGCCUUGACGAGGAUGGUGGCCAUGCCUUCCUCAAAUGUAAAUUUGCAAAGGCUAUUUGGCGGGAAGCUAAACAGGAGCAUGUAAGGGGUUUGCUUCUCAGUUGUACUGAUGCAAAACAAUCAGUCGAAACUCUACUAAGCCUGGAGAAUGCGACAUCCAUGUUCUGCAUUUGUUUGAUGUGGAAUUUGUGGAAUGCUAGAAAUGCAGUUAAUAAUGGUGAUAGGUGUCCGUCAGCAGCGGCUAUCGUUUCCUCUACUGCUAUACAAGUUACAGAAUUUUCUGAACAUCUUCAUAUACCUUCAUGUUCAGUUAUUGCCCCUAAUGAGCGCUGGUCUAAGCCUCCUGACGACUUCCUAAAGAUAAACAUUGAUGGUUCGUUCCUAAAAGAUAACAGUACAGGAGGUUGGGGUUUUUGUGUUAGGGAUGCUUCUGGAGAUGUCGUCGGUGCUGGCAUGGGCCAAAUCCACUUCCUGGCGGAUGCUUUGCAUGCAGAGUCGAUA